rnacentral:rRNA from 1 species
CAGCCGCCGCGGGAAUACGAAGGGUGCAAGCGUUAAUCGGAAUUACUGGGCGUAAAGCGUGCGUAGGCGGUGAGUUAAGUCUGCUGUGAAAUCCCCGGGCUCAACCUGGGAAUGGCAGUGGAUACUGGGCGACUAGAGUGCGGUAGAGGAUAGUGGAAUUUCCGGUGUAGCAGUGAAAUGCGUAGAGAUCGGAAGGAACAUCUGUGGCGAAGGCGACUAUCUGGGCCAACACUGACACUGAGACACGAAAGCGCGGGGAGCAAACAGGAUUAGAUACCCCCUAGUCCCUGUCUCUUAUACA